AGCGAACGCUGGCGGCAGGCCUAACACAUGCAAGUCGAACGAACCUUUCGGGGUUAGUGGCGGACGGGUGAGUAACACGUGGGAACGUGCCUUUAGGUUCGGAAUAACUCAGGGAAACUUGUGCUAAUACCGAAUGUGCCCUUCGGGGGAAAGAUUAAUCGCCUUUAGAGCGGCCCGCGUCUGAUUAGCUAGUUGGUUGAGGUAAUGGCUCACCAAGGCGACGAUCAGUAUCUGGUCUGAGAGGAUGAUCAGCCACAUUGGGACUGAGACACGGCCCAAACUCCUACGGGAGGCAGCAGUGGGGAAUCUUGCGCAAUGGGCGAAAGCCUGACGCAGCCAUGCCGCGUGAAUGAUGAAGGUCUUAGGAUUGUAAAAUUCUUUCACCGGGUACGAUAAUGACGGUACCCGGAGAAGAAGCCCCGGCUAACUUCGUG
rnacentral:rRNA from 1 species